rnacentral:rRNA from 1 species
AUGUGGCAUUCGAGUGGCGGACGGGUGAGUAACGCGUGGGUAACCUGCCUUACACAGGGGGAUAACACCUGGAAACAGGUGCUAAUACCGCAUAAGCGCACAGGGCCGCAUGGCCCGGUGUGAAAAACUCCGGUGGUGUAAGAUGGACCCGCGUCUGAUUAGCUUGUUGGCGGGGUAGGGGCCCACCAAGGCGACGAUCAGUAGCCGGCCUGAGAGGGUGGACGGCCACAUUGGGACUGAGACACGGCCCAAACUCCUACGGGAGGCAGCAGUGGGGGAUAUUGGACAAUGGGGGAAACCCUGAUCCAGCGACGCCGCGUGAGUGAAGAAGUAUUUCGGUAUGUAAAGCUCUGUCAGCAGGGAAGAAAGAAAUGACGGUACCUGACCAAGAAGCCCCGGCUAACUACGUGCCAGCAGCCGCGGUAAUACGUAGGGGGCAAGCGUUAUCCGGAAUUACUGGGUGUAAAGGGAGCGUAGACGGUGAUGCAAGUCUGGAGUGAAAGGCGGGGGCCCAACCCCCGGACUGCUCUGGAAACUGUGUAACUUGAGUGCAGGAGAGGUAAGCGGAAUUCCUAGUGUAGCGGUGAAAUGCGUAGAUAUUAGGAGGAACACCAGUGGCGAAGGCGGCUUACUGGACUGUAACUGACGUUGAGGCUCGAAAGCGUGGGGAGCAAACAGGAUUAGAUACCCUGGUAGUCCACGCCGUAAACGAUGAUUACU